UUGAAGAAAUUAGAGUGCUCAAAGCAAGCCAUCGCUCUGGAUACAUUAGCAUGGGAUAACAUCAUAGGAUUCCGGUCCUAUUGUGUUGGCCUUCGGGAUCGGACUAAUGAUUAAUAAGGACAGUAGGGGGCAUUCGUAUUUCAUAGUCAGAGGUGAAAUUCUUGGAUUUAUGAAAGAUGAACAACUGCGAAAGCAUUUUCCUAGGAUGUUUUCAUUAAUCAAGAACGAA
rnacentral:ncRNA from 1 species